rnacentral:rRNA from 1 species
GUAACACGUAUCCAACCUGCCGUCUACUCUUGGACAGCCUUCUGAAAGGAAGAUUAAUACAAGAUGGCAUCAUGAGUCCGCAUGUUCACAUGAUUAAAGGUGUUCCGGUAGACGAUGGGGAUGCGUUCCAUUAGAUAGUAGGCGGGGUAACGGCCCACCUAGUCUUCGAUGGAUAGGGGUUCUGAGAGGAAGGUCCCCCACAUUGGAACUGAGACACGGUCCAA